AAUUGCUAGUAAUCGCAGAUCAGAAUGCUGCGGUGAAUACGUUCCCGGGUCUUGUACACACCGCCCGUCACACCAUGGGAGUCGAUAACGCCCGAAGUCAGUGACCCAACCGAGAGGAGGGAGCUGCCGAAGGCGGGAUGGAUAACUGGGGUGAAGUCGUAACAAGGUACC
rnacentral:rRNA from 1 species